rnacentral:tRNA from 1 species
AGCAGUAGCCUUUUAAGCUAACGGUCGUGGGUUCGAACCCCACCCGGAUCA